rnacentral:rRNA from 1 species
CGGAGGAGCCUGCGGUUUAAUCGGACUCAACGCCGGACAUCUCACAAGCUCCGACAGUAGUAAUGACGGUCAGGUUGCUGACUUUACCCGAUGCUACUGAGAGGAGGUGCAUGGCCGCCGUCAGCUCGUACCGUGAGGCGUCCUGUUAAGUCAGGCAACGAGCGAGACCCGCACACCUAAUCGCCAGCAGUACCCUUUGGGUAGCUGGGUACAUUAGGUGGACUGCCGCUGCCAAAGCGGAGGAAGGAACGGGCAACGGUAGGUCAGUAUGCCCCGAAUGAGCUGGGCAACACGCCGGCUACAAUGGUCGAGACAAUGGGAUGCAACUCCGAGAGGAGGCGAUAAUCUCCUAAACUCGAUCGUAGUUCGGAUUGAGGGCUGAAACUCGCCCUCACGAAGCUGGAUUCGGUAGUAAUCGCGUGUCAGAAGCGCGCGGUGAAUACGUCCCUGCUCCUUGCACACACCCCCCGUCAAAGCACCCGAGUGGGUUCGGAUGGGCC